AAGUCGAACGGGCCUGGGUUUUACUCAGGUUAGUGGCGCACGGGUGCGUAACGCGUACACAACAUACCCUUGACUGAGGGAUAGCGGUGGGAAACUGCCAGUAAUCCCUCAUGGUCUUCUGAGUUGGCAUCGGCUCGGGAGUAAAGCUGAGGCGGUCGAGGAUUGGUGUGCGUCCGAUUAGCUAGUUGGUAGGGUAACGGCCUACCAAGGCGACGAUCGGUAGGGGGUGUGAGAGCAUGGCCCCCCACACGGGUACUGAGACACGGACCCGACUCCUACGGGAGGCAGCAGUAAGGAAUAUUGGACAAUGGUCGCAAGACUGAUCCAGCCAUGCCGCGUGCAGGAAGAAGGCCCUCUGGGUUGUAAACUGCUUUUGGACGGGAAUAAA
rnacentral:rRNA from 1 species